CUUAACCGGAGGAGGAGGGGACUUGUAUACGUAAUGUUUCUUUGGUGGUGGUGGGGAAUGGUAAACUGGAGGGGGAGAGUAGUGCUUCACCGGUGGUGGUGGAGAUUUGUACACGUAGUGUUUCUUUGGUGGGGGUGGGGAAUGGUAAACCGGAGGAGGAGAGUAGUGCUUAACUGGAGGAGGAGGAGAUUUGUACACGUAGUGUUUCUUUGGUGGUGGUGGGGAAUGGUAAACCGGAGGAGGAGAGUAGUGCUUAACCGGAGGAGGAGGAGAUUUGUACACGUAGUGUUUCUUUGGGGGUGGUGGGGAAUGGUAAACCGGAGGAGGUGAGUAGUGCUUCACCGGUGGUGGUGGAGAUUUGUAGACGUAAUGCUUUUUAGGUGGGGGUGGGGAAUGGUAAACCGGAGGGGGAGAGUAGUGCUUAACCGGAGGAGGAGGAGACUUGUAAACGUAAUGUUUUUUUGGUGGUGGUGGUGAGUGGUAAACCGGAGGGGGAGAGUAGUGCUUAACCGGAGGAGGAGGAGACUUGUAUACGUAAUGUUUCUUUGGUGGUGGUGGUGAGUGGUAAACCGGUGGGGGAGAGUAGUGCUUGACUGGAGGAGGGGGAGAUUUGUACACGUAGUGCUUCUUGGGUGGUGGUGGAGAGUGGUAAACCGGAGGAGGAGAGUAGUGCUUAACCGGAGGAGGGGGAGAUUUGUAAACGUAGUGCUUCUUUGGUGGUGGUGGGGAGUGAUAAACCGGUGGGGGAGAGUAGUGCUUGACCGGAGGAGGAGGAGAUUUGUACACGUAGUGUUUCUUUGGUGGGGGUGGGGAAUGGUAAACCGGAG
rnacentral:lncRNA from 1 species